rnacentral:misc_RNA from 1 species
AGCAGGAGGAGUAAACA